AUGGAGGUGAUGAUUAUUUCCCCAAAUGAUCGAAGCUGAUUAUACUGUGCUAUUUUUCUGAAUUCUCUUUCUAUGAGAAUCCAAGCCAGUCUUCUGAUCCAU